rnacentral:rRNA from 1 species
GUAGGUGGCAAGCGUUGUCCGGAAUUAUUGGGCGUAAAGCGCGCGCAGGCGGUUCUUUAAGUCUGAUGUGAAAGCCCACGGCUCAACCGUGGAGGGUCAUUGGAAACUGGAGAACUUGAGUACAGAAGAGGAAAGCGGAAUUCCACGUGUAGCGGUGAAAUGCGUAGAGAUGUGGAGGAACACCAGUGGCGAAGGCGGCUUUCUGGUCUGUAACUGACGCUGAGGCGCGAAAGCGUGGGGAGCAAACAGGAUCAGAUACCCUGGUAGUCCACGCCGUAAACGAUGAGUGCUAAGUGUUAGGGGGUUUUCCGCCCUUAGUGCUGCAGCUAACGCAUUAAGCACUCCGCUGGGAGUACGGCGCAAGGCUG